AUGACGACCCGACGACACCACAGGCAUGGUGAUCUCUACAGAGAAGUCCCCGUCACCCAGACUAGGCGACGCUCUCGUCUGGUGGCUCUUCCCGACGGCAGUCAUAUCCUUGACCCUCACGGCGAUGCCAACGAGGUAUCUCGACUCUUGAGAUAUGCACACUUGGGCGACUACUCCGACCUCCACCACCCGAGACCAAGCGUACCAGAUGGACGCAUGGAAGUCGUCCGCUCCGACAUCCAGACGAGGCCCUACGAUCGGCCACAGCCUCCACAGUGUGAGCCAGAGAACAUGGCCUCAAAUCAGUCGGUCGAUAGCUCGUCUAUCACCAACACUUCCUCAUCCUCCAAGCAGGCAGAUUUGGUAACUCAUGACGUCUCACCAACAUCAACGCACUCGUCUCCACUCAUCUCAGCUCGAAAACCUUCUGGUUGGCCUAUAGAGCUUUUCAUCAGAAUUGAUCUGGGGGGUUCUUUCCACACGUAUCCUUGUCUGGGGGGGCCAUUCCGGAGCUUGGAGGAAGCUGAAGAUGCCAUCAAAAGCCAUCUUGAUGGCCUGCGCUCUCCACUAAUGCGCAAAGAUAAGAUUUCGCCAGAGGAAUUUGCGGUACGAUAUCGCCUUUACUGGCCUGAUGGCACGAGGAAGAUGUCGUCCAAAUGCAAUUAUGAAAGCAGCAAUAGGAAGCUAUUGGUUCAAGCUUUACUCGAUAAAUACAAUGAAGAUCACCAUCUUUUGGGGGAUCUUGCAUAUGAACUUGAUGAUGUUUUGAGCUUCCGACAAAUUUUUGAGGAGGAGGGCUGCCUUGUUAACAUGUUCUAUCAUAUCAAUUUGGCUGUAAAAAUCAAAGGAGAUGAUGGUUUUCACAACAAUAUAUUCUUUGCUGAAGUCACACGAAUAAAAGGCGAAAAUGAAGAAUACGUGCUCAAUUGUUUCUGUAUGGUUAAACCUAUUGACAAUGGCCGAUGCUCAGGUUGUACGAGGUAUGGACAGUAUGAUUUGAAGCACCCAGCUGAUGCUGAUAAAUACAAAGGUGGCCACUCUACCCCGUUCAUCCAAUGUUGUGGUGUAGAUUGUAUUCCUUCCAUGGUCCUGGAUAGACCUGGAUACAUCCAGAAUGAGAAGGAUUGUUCGGAGGCGGAGAAGGCUAUGUUGGCGGCGGAGGAGGAGGCUAUGUUGGAGGAGGAGGAGGCUAGGAUAAGAUAUAUAUACAAGUGCCCUGGUGAUUCUCCUAUUCAGGCAAAAUCAGAUGGUGAAAAAAUGCCUGCUGGUUUGGCCAAGAGAGGAGAGGGUGCUGGUUUGGCCAAGAGUGGAGGGGGUGCAAAAUUGGAUGGUGCAAAGAUGACUGCUCGUUUGGCCAAGAGAAGAGAGUGUGCUGGUUUGGCCAAGAGAGGAGAGGGUGCUGGUUUGUCCAAGAGUGGAGAGGGUGCAAAAUUGGGUGGUGCAAAGAUGACUGCUGGUUUGGCCAAGAGAAGAGAGUGUGCUGGUUUGGCCAAGAGAGGAGAGGGCGCUGGUUUGGCCAAGAGAGAGGAUAACCAGGGAAGCGUGAAGUACAUUAUAGUUUUCCACCCGACCGUAGCCAUCGCCGCUGCCACAACUUCCAUACACUCCGCCGCCUGUGUACCCCCUCUUCUUCCUCGUUCGGUGGACUCAUCGGCGGAUGUGAGGCAUGAACUAGGUUGUAGAAUACCAAGUACUUUCCUUGAUUAUGGCUUCAAUUUCGUGGUGUGA
rnacentral:rRNA from 1 species